UGGCUUUUUCAGCCUGAGUCCUUGUCUUUGCUUUUUGGGGAGCCCCAAAUGCACUCUUCUGGGAGCUGUGGGGCCAGCUUCCUGGCUGGAGAGGUCUUCGAGGGCUAGUUUUGGGGCAGGGGGCACAGCUAUGAGGAGACCUUUGUGGCUGAGCCCCUUUCCCCUCUGCAUGGCCCAAGAGGCCUCCCACAGCCAGUGGUGUUCACAGAAAGGGGAAAGUGGAGCAGAACUCUGGACGCUCACCUCUUCCAAGGAUUGAAAAACUUUGAUGCUCCCUUCCUCCCUGAUUCCUGGAGGGCUUGGUGCCCACAGAGCUCACAUUCCUGAGCAUGGCCUCUUCCUGCUUCUCCAUACACCUGCGGUUGCACUGGGAAGGGAGGUGUUCCCCGUGUGUCUAGGGCCCAGCAACUGCGAGACACCCACCAGGCAGGUGUCUUCCAUCUGUUUCUGUGUCCAGGAUUCGUGUUUUUCAAGGGCCAAUGGAAACGCUGAGAUCUAAAAGCGUGUUGAUUGGCGCCAAAGCCUGAAAAUAAACUUCAAAAUAAAAUUAAUAAGCUUUAUUGAAUGGCUACAAAAUUUAACACUAUAUUGAAAA
rnacentral:lncRNA from 1 species